rnacentral:rRNA from 1 species
GACGAACGCUGGCGGCGUGCUUAACACAUGCAAGUCGAACGGAAAGGCCCUGCUUUUGUGGGGUGCUCGAGUGGCGAACGGGUGAGUAACACGUGAGUAACCUGCCCUUGACUUUGGGAUAACUUCAGGAAACUGGGGCUAAUACCGGAUAGGCGCUCCUGCUGCAUGGUGGGGGUUGGAAAGUUUCGGCGGUUGGGGAUGGACUCGCGGCUUAUCAGCUUGUUGGUGGGGUAGUGGCUUACCAAGGCUUUGACGGGUAGCCGGCCUGAGAGGGUGACCGGCCACAUUGGGACUGGGAUACGGCCCAGACUCCUACGGGAGGCAGCAGUGGGGAAUAUUGCACAAUGGGCGGAAGCCUGAUGCAGCAACGCCGCGUGCGGGAUGACGGCCUUCGGGUUGUAAACCGCUUUCGCCUGUGACGAAGCGCGAGUGACGGUAAUGGGUAAAGAAGCACCGGCUAACUACGUG